rnacentral:sRNA from 1 species
CCCCACGACUGGCGCCCCGCUUUCCCCAUUCACUGCCUUGUCUCCACCCCUCGACCUCCUUGCUCUCCUGCCGCUGACAUUGGGACCCCUACCCUGCAGGCUGUCCUGGAAUCUCCUGGGGGAUGAGGCGGCUGCCGAGCUGGCCCAGGUGCUGCCGCAGAUGGGCCGGCUGAAGAGAGUGGACCUGGAGAAGAAUCAGAUCACAGCUUUGGGGGCCUGGCUCCUGGCUGAAGGACUGGCCCAGGGGUCUAGCAUCCAAGUCAUCCGCCUCUGGAAUAACCCCAUUCCCUGCGACAUGGUCCAGCACCUGAAGAGCCAGGAGCCCAGGCUGGACUUUGCCUUCUUUGACAACCAGCCCCAGGCCCCUUGGGGUACUUGAUGGCCCCCUCAAGACCUUUGGAAUCCAGCCAAGUGAUGCACCCAAAUGAUCCACCUUUCGCCCACUGGGAUAAAUGACUCAGGAAAGAAGAGCCUCGGCAGGGCG